rnacentral:lncRNA from 1 species
UGGCGGAUGAUUAUUGAGUGGUUCGGAGGAGGAGGAGGAGUCAGCACCGCGAACAACCUGAGCCCACGGAGAAGUAAGGUUUUUUGGCGGGAAAUUAGAGGAAGAAUCAGGUGCGGUGGUAGUAACCAUUGCCCACGGAGACUUAAGUCACGCAGAGCUUAUGAGGUGCGUGAGUUAAGUCUCGCUGCGUAACUUAACUCACGCAGGUCAAAUUUGAAAAAAGUGCAGGCGCGAGCGAAAUGUGUAGGGUGAAGAGGAGAAUUCAAAUUAUCUUGACAUAUAUGGGCUUUGAAUUAUUAGUAGUUGGCCCAUUGAGUUAGGGUAAACACAAAUAAAAAAGCGGGUACAAAGAAGAAAAUUAGGAAAAUAUAGAGUUAAAUGUUUUAUGAUUCUGUAAAUUUUCUAACUUUUUGGUAAAAAAGAAAAUCAACUUUAUAUUUUAGUCCCUAAUUUUUUUUCCUACUUUUAGUCUUAAAAAUAAAUUCGCCAAUAUUUUUUUGUCUCUUCUUUUAGGUUAGAGCAUGUGUACCGUUUAUAUUUUAGAGUGAAUUUACAUGAAUGUUUAAAAUAUUAUAAUAAUCUUAAAAAAAACAUAAAUUAAAUAUGCGUCUAAAACAUAAAAGUUCAUAUUUAAUUCGUUAAUUUUUUUUUGACAAAUUCCUUUAAUAUUCUAAAAAUAAAUGCGAAAAAAUCCAAAAUUUUGAAGGAUACAUAUAAAUUGAUUUAAAGAGCAAAAUUUUGAAAGAUACAGAUAAAUUGACUUAAAAGUUAGAAUUAUUUUUGAUAGAAACUUAAAAUUUAAAAUAUUUAUAAGGAGCAUGUACUUAUUUAAUUAAAAUAAUUCACACACAUGUGAGAAUAAAUGAAAUAAAUAGUCCUUCAAAAAAAAAAUGAAAUGUUAGCUCGUUCUCGUGAACUUAACUCAGUUGAAAGUGAUAAUGCAUAAUUAAUAUAAUAUGCAAGGUUUGAAAUCCAAACUUUAACCACCAUCAAAAGUUGGUAACUCGGAUUCCCCACUCCUUCGCAUUAAAAAUGUGUGAGCUCCAAGCACUAGGCUAGUUGAAAAGAAAUGAAAAAAAUUAAAUAAAAUAAAUAAUAAUGAUUAGAUUAAAAUAUAAGAGACCAUAUCUCUUCCUUCCCCCAUCUCUCUCUUCUAAUUCUCAAACCCUAGUCGUCACCCCUUUUCUUCUUCUUCUUUUUAAAUGAGUGAUUUAAGGUCAAUUUUGACCCAAAAAUCACCCAUCCGAAUUGUUUUUCCUUCUAUUCUAAUUCAAUAAGUGAUUUUCUGCUUUCUUUCGUUUGUUUUUGUGAUUUCAUCGUCUCUGAACGACUUUGUUUGUUUUGAUUUCCCGUCUUUGUGCGAUGUGUUUUUGAUUUCCCGUCUUAGUGCGCUGUUUAUUUGAUUCAGGUUGAAAGAUUAGCUUUGAGCAAGUGCAAAUCCGAUCAAUGACAAUGACUUUGGCGUCGUCAACGUUGCAGAUCCAGAGACAUGAGUAUUCCGGAGACAUAAAUAUAGUCAUAUUAAUCAUGUUGGUAAGCAUAUGUACUUUGCCGUUUUAUGCUAUUAACAUGGAUGUUGUUAGUUUGUUCACAUAUUCAUCAUUUUUGUUUUUAGCGAAUUUAGAUUUGUAUUGUAUCGAUGUACUCUAUCAAUUUGAAUGCAUGAAUAUUGUUAAUUUUGGAAAGAAAAAAAAAAAAAAAAAGAUUGAGAUUAAAACAUAGCUAAGAGAGUCACGUGCGAUUCACAUGUUCUCUUUUACAGGUUACCCCAACCCUUUUCUUCUCAUUGAUGCGUUUCCAGCACUCUGCUUUCUCUAAACGUCGACGAUUCUGUCCAUCGACGACACCAAUUCCGGCCAUCUCCCUCGCAUUCCGACCAUAUCAAUCUCUGUUUAGGGUUACCGCUGAAGAGGGAAAAACAGAAAACAGAGCAUUCCUCUCUCCUUCAAGUUCCGGUUUGAACCUCUGACGAAGAAUCAUCCUCCGUUUCCAUCUUCAUUCUUCACUCCUAAAACAGAGGUUCUCCCAUUCUUUCCAUCUUCCUUCAUAUUUUUAUAUGAAUAUGAAUAAGUUGGUGUUAAGUUAACUAUGGUUCUGUUUCCGUAUGUUCAAUGCAUAAUUAUAAACAACAAUGUGAAUGAAAAUACUUAUGUGAUUGUUACUAUAAAGUCAGCUGUAGCAUUAUCCUCACGCAAAGUGUGUUGCAAAUUAACCAUCCACAUUUGUGAAACACAUUCAAACCCAAUAAGAUCCCAAUUUUUUGUGAUGAAAUACACACCCACAGUCAGGCCCAACCCAAUACAUUUCAAUUUCAUCAUGUUGAGUCUGAGAGACACAACACUUUCUUAUAGCCAGAAUCCCAACAUAAAGUGUGUGUAUGUGUGCCCAAAUAGAGUGUUCAAACGCUUGUGACCAAGAAAGCAUUUUGCCUAUUUUUCAAUUGACGAAUACUGGUGUAUACUAUUGCUGCAUACAUACAUACCUUCAAUGUCUCUGUUAUGUAAUUUCUCAUUGUUGUCAUUUAAGCUUGCUAUGCGAAUUUAGCCUAGUAAUUAAUUUCCUAUAACUAAUAACUUCUUGCUUUUCCCUCCAUAGUUGACAAAUAAAUGGCUGUGGAGGCUUCAGAUGGAUCAGUAACUUUUAAAAGUAGCUCAGCGUCGAAGAGUAAUCAAUUGUAUUCAGAAAUGAGGAAGUCAACUUCUCAUAGUCAUGAUGAACUGUCAUAUAAAAACACCUCUGAUGUGUCUUCUUCAAAUGGCCAAACUUCUAGCUCACAAAAUGGUAAGGUUGUCCCAUCCGCUAAGGCGUCUGCCGUGGAAUCUUCUGUUGGCAAUACAAAAGCAUCAACAUCAAAUCUCAAAACUCAGAGAAAUAAAGAUCUCAUUAAUGUGAAUGAGGAAAAUAAUUCUACAAAACAUCUUAAAGAAGACAGAUGUGAAGAUUCUGAAGAGGAGGAUAGUAUACCAUUGAGUGCUAUUAAGAUGAAGAUGAACAAUGGCAAUGUUAAGAAAGCAACUCCUGAUGUUCUCAAGAAAUCAUACGAAGACUCUGAUGAUGAUGAUAUUCCUUUAUCAGCAAGGUUUCCAAAGAAUACUAAUCUGGGAAAAUAUAGUUGUAACUUUGAUGAUUCUAAUAAACAGGAAAUGACAUCUAUGUUGUCUGUUAAGAGACCACUAGAUAAAAUUGACUCAUUACAUUCUUCAGGUAAGAAGUCAAAACUCUCAGAUCCAGCUUCAUCAAUUAAUGCUAAACAAACAACGAUGAAAGAUGCGAAGGCUGAGGAGGAAGAGGAGGAUGAUGAUAUUCCUAUUUCCCGAAGAAGGAACAAAUUGGUCAAUAAAUCAUCUUCCUUGAAGAAGUUGACAAAUGUCACUAAAGUCAAUAAGGGAGCUGCUCCAUCUUUUAAGAAAAAGUCGAAGUUAAAAAAAUCAGGCAAUAAAUCAAAACAUGUCAAAUCUACUAAACUUCAAUCAAGCUCCGGUGAUGGGCAAAAAAAAUGGACUACUUUGGUUCACAAUGGUGUCAUCUUCCCACCUCCUUACAAGCCUCAUGGGGUAAAGGUUCUCUAUAAAGCGAAGCCAGUAACUUUGACCCCAGAACAAGAGGAGGUAGGAUUUUGCUUAUGAAUAAUGUUUUCAUGGUUUUGGGUAACUGUUUGCUCUUGCUUUUUUUGUUUUGUAUUUGUUGAGAAUUUCACAUUGGAUUGACGUGGUUUGCAAAAUGUGUCUAUAAGUGGAAGAUAUUCCUCAUUUUACAAGCUUAUAAUUUGUGCAGUUGAGUUAGGCUCUCUCCAAAUCCUAAGUAGCAACAGACCCUAUUAUAGAUCCUGGUUGGAACCCGUUAUCGGGCUAUUGGUUCAUCUCAUUAUGUUCAAUCAUAUGGGUGUGAGAGAGGUGUUGAGGGUCUCACAUUGAAUGCGAUAGAGCUUGAAAUUGAGUUUAUAAGUGAUGUAUAUUUCUUACCUUACAAGUCGGCUUUGUGCGUUUGAGUCAAGUACUUUUAUGUGAGAGUUCUCAUAUUAAAAAGUAGAGUUUCUGAUAAUAUUAUGAACUUGGAAUAUACAUGCAGGUUGCCACAAUGUUUGCAGUCGUCGAUGCAAAAUACAUGCAAAAUGAAAUAUUCAAGGAUAAUUUUUGGAAUGACUGGCGGAAAUUGCUAGGAGAAAAUCACGUAAUUCAGAAUUUAAAAGAUUGUGACUUUACACCGAUUUAUGAUUGGUGCCAGGUUGAAAAGGAUAAGAAGAAACAAAUGAGUUCAGAGGUAAGUUGUUUCAUAUAUUUUCAUUUGAAAAUGAUAGAAUCAAAAUUAAUAUCUCAAAGCAUCAUUUGUUUUUUUCAUAAAAUAUUGUGUGCUUCCAAUAUUACAUCCGGAGAUUUGUUUUUUUGAAAAUAAACUUUCCAUCUAGCUGGUUUAGUUCUUUAAUAAUCUUUACUCUUCAAAUCACGGUUUUCAAACUUGUAGAUUCUACAUUGGAUUGGACAGGAUAUUUAGGCAUGUAAAACUUGUGACAGACAAAAUACGUCAUAACACCUAACAUUAACUAUAAUAUUAUUAAAACUGAAUUAAAAUUAUAUACCAUUUUUAAGUCUAUGAGAAAUUUGAAGGUGGUGAUUCGAAGUAAAUGACAAAAACAAUUGAAAAGGAGAGUGUUAUAUAAUCCAUAAGCUUGCAUGUGUUUAUUCUUAAAGUACUGGAAUCAAUCUUUCCUUUAAGUAAUAGAAAUAGAGGGUUCCGAAAAAGGCUACCCAGAAUGAGACAGUGGGAAUCUCUGAGAGAACCUGUCCUCCCAUGUCUCAGCACUGAAGUCGCAGCACCAGAGUCCACACAUUCAGUUGGCAGUCACAAAACUAAAGUUGCUGUUCUUCUCAUUUCCGUUUGUGUCAGCCUUGAGCAUUGCUGUUAUUUUUUUUCUUCUUUUGUUAAUUUCCAUAACCCUCCAGAGUAGACAAAGGGUUAAAUUUGGAAGUUUCUUCCCUUUGGGUUUGGUCUGGAAUGUUAUUGUAUUUGAAGUAUCAGCAGAGAUCAAUGUAUCUCACACAGUGCCAGCAAGUUUAUGUCCAAGUUGGAAACUUUACCACGGUCCCAAGAAAACGAGUUCUGAGUUGGGAUCAGGAUCUUUGAAAGAUGUAGAGCAUGUAGAAUUAUGCGUUGCAGCAAUCUGACUUGCAAUUUUGACAAUUAUAGUCCAAAUAAUUAAGUACAGCAAACCAUUCAUGUUACUACAAAUUUUAUUGAUCUUAUGAAAAAUACAUUUCUUAAAUGUGUUGAUUUUUUACCAGUUUUCGAAAGGAAGUUGAGAUGAAUCUAAGUUAGUUUUUAAAGUUUGUGGUAAAUCUCAUACUCCCUUUUGAAGCUUUUGGAUUUUAAUACUGUCUACAUCUUUAUGCAUGCAUAUGUAUUUUGUGAGGAUUUUUCUUAGUUAGCUUGAGAUGUGAUCAUCAGUUUCUUUUGUUCAUGUAUUGUGCUUAUGUGUUGACCCUCUUGUCUUAUUUUUAUCAGGAGAAGAAGGCCCUAAAGGAGCAAAAAAUGAAACAAGAAGAGAAAUACAUGUGGGCUAUUGUUGAUGGUGUUAAAGAGAAGGUUUAUUCUUCUCUCCCUCUUUCUCUGCCCAACCAAACACUCUCCCCUGUAUUUCUUGAAAACAUGUUGUCUGUUUUUUGCUUAAAAUUUGUCCAGCUUUGUCAAUAUACUUUACCUUAUCUUGAAUUAGCUUGUUCGAUGAGUUAAGUGUUGGUAUUAUCUAAGUUGGAUGUUCACUUGCUCUUUUUUGAUGUUGAUAUUUGACGUUGGUUGAUGUGUGAAGUAAUAAAUCGAGACAAGAGGAGCGACAAUUAUCAUACGCUCGAACAGCACACAAUAGAGUUAUUUUUCAUUUAACUUUUAUUAUAAAUAUGAGAUUUCUUGUUCAGUCAAUAAGUCACUCAACAAUUUUCUUAAUUAUUGGCACUGUGAGUCUUAGAAAUAUGGAUUGGGCCUAACUCAAUCCUACAAAACUGAUUUGUAUGGUGAGGGAUGCCUCCCACUUUAAACACUUUUUCAGGUCAUAUGUCAUAGUUUGUUGGUAGAAUUGAGUUAGGCCUGAGCCAAAGUCAGCUUGAAGCUGCAUAUCUCUACGAAGUGUGAAUGGAGAUGGCUAUGCAAACAAGAAGUGGGUUCUAGAUAGUUUGGGUAGCAUAAACAGAGGGUGGAGGAGGCAGAGAGAUCAGGCAAGUAAUGAAACAAUAAGUUGGGUGAGAUUGGGUUUAUUUGGCCAAGGAUUUGUUUGUUUGCCACAUAGGGGGUGAAACACAACCACAAGCCUAAUGUUCAAACCACUUGGGGAACCCUCCCUUAAAAUCUAGUGGUCAAGGGGAAUAAUUAAGCCAUUUAAGUACACUACCGCCCCAGAGAGCCGACGUCCUGGAAGCUGCACUCACUCGGCCUUUCCGGUCAGCUCCUCCACAGGCAGCCCUUUAUAAACCAAUGGACGGCCACUAGCUCUAAUACUGAUUGAUAAUUAUCCAAGCACUUUGGGAACCCUCCCUUAAAAGUUAGUUAUAACCAAACUGCUUAAAUACUCCACUGAGCAUCCCAUAGUACAAUGCAGGCUAACCCAAAGUUUUUUUAAGCCUAGGUAGGAAAACAAAAUAAUUGGCAGUUUCUUUGAAGGUGAGACUAGAGAGUGAGAUAAAUAACUCUUGAUUUAUUUGAAUCCUGUUUUUUCAUAAAUUAAAAGAAUCUGUUUUUUAUCUUUUAUUUUGGUUGGAUCAGUUUCUUGUGCAUUAUUGAACUUGAAGGGGGUUGUGUAGGCAUGAUUUUUUACUUUAUAGCUUUUCUCUUGUUUACCUCUCUCUAUCUAAGCUUUUACUUUUGAAGCAUCCUUAUGAAACUGCUAUUUUCAAUUUUUUUCUCUGGGAUUCUUUUUAUGACCAUUUUUUCGUUAAAUCUUUUAGGUUGGCAAUUUUAGAGUUGAACCUCCAGGAUUGUUCAUUGGACGUGGAGAGCAUCCCAAGGUUGGUACGAUAAUUGCUAUUGAAAAUAAAAACAUGUAAACUGACUUCAGAGAGAACAAUUUUCAUACAUCUAUGCAUCUUAAGAUUUUUUGCGAGUAUCUGAUAAGUUUUGGCACUUAACGACUUAUGCUUGAUGUUAUUAGAUCGGCAAAGUGAAAAGACGCAUCCAUCCAAGUGAUGUCUCAAUUAAUAUUGGAAAGUAUACACCAAUUCCCGAAUGUCCUAUUCCCGGUGAAAGGUAUAAUUGUUCAAAAAAUUCAUGGCGAACAAGUCAGGAAAGAAAAUUAAUACAACGAAUUGAAAGUCAUUGUUAUCUUAUGAAAUUAUUGAUUUGUAUGCCCUUGGAAGCUGGAAAGAAAUAAAACAUAAAGAUACACGUAUCUGGUUAGCCAAGUGGCGUGACCCAAUCAAUCCAAAUAAAUCCAAACAUGUGUCUCUGGAUCCUAGUAGUUCCUUGAAAGGGCAGAGCGACAAAGAAAAGUAUGAGAAAGCAAGGAUGUUGAAGGUGUGUUCCACUUUGUUUAUUUUAUUAAUUCUGCAUUUUCACAUGAUAUUUUGUAUGAUAUUUAAAAGAACCUGUUUAAUUAUGGAAUACCUUGUCAUAUGUGUGCAGAGUUAUAUAGGGAACAUCAGGGCUGCAUAUACGGAAGGUUUCACGAGCAAAGAUAUUACUAAGCAGCAAAUAGCCGUUGCUACUUAUUUUAUUGACAAACUAGCUUUAAGGGCUGGAAAUGAGAAGGUACAAAUAUAAUAUCUGCAGAUGUAAUUGCUUAUUUGUUCACUACAAAUCACCCCUUCCCCAGAUAACAUAAAGAUAUGCUAAAAGAGGAUAAGAUAUAUACAACACUAAAGUAUAUUAUAUUGUGAAUGCAUACAUAAUUUGUAAGUCAAAGUAUGCUGAACACUUGCUAGUUUAAGUUAAACUGGCUGUAGUUUUAAAGAGCUGUGACAAGCAGGAAGGCAUACAACUUUCAUUUAAAAGGAGAUUAACAACUUCGCCACUUCCUAAGCGCAUGUAUGAUAUUUUCUAGUCUAGAUUUGGCUUAACUAUGUACAUGAAGUCUUGAACCUACAAAUCUCAAUACUAAUAUGAACUCCCAACACUACUUGGAAGGUGGAAUAAUGUGUAUUUGUGACAAUUAUUUAUGGUUCAUGAUAUGACGUAUGUCAAAAGCAUCGGAAAUGUGCGGCUAGCCCAAUAAAAAUACAACUGUCAUUAUUCAGUAAGAUUAUAAUCUUUACAACAUCAUGUUCAUCAAUUGUAAUUACAGUUGAUACAUUGAAUGAGUGAGAUAGUGGGGAGUUAAUUUAAUUCUGCUAUAUCAUGACAUGAUAGCUUUGUUUUUAGCUUAUUCGGACAAUCAACUGUUUUUUGUAGCUAAGAUUUAUUUAUUACAUUGUAUAAAAUUUCAACCCAUAAGGAAUUUAAGCACAAACAAGGAAAACAAUGCCAUAUUGUCAGUAGCUUGUAUAUGUUACGGUCUAGUUGUUUAAUUGCUGUUUGACCAAAAUGUAAGGAAUUCAGAACACAAAUGGGGGAAAAUAUAGCACAUAUCUAUUAAAAAAAUUCUUGCAAAUUUGCUAUGUAGGUGUUCAAAAGUUGAAUAAUUGCUUUAUGAAUCUCUGUAGGUUUGUCAGUCUAAUCAAUUCUGUAAGGUAGUUGUGCUUUCUGCAGUUUUGUCAACCAGUUACUAUAGCUAGUAUGUUUCUGUUUGUUGAUAUAAUGUAUUUAAAGCUCACCUCACCCAGUGGAAAAGGCUUUUCUUGUUGUUGUUUAUUAUUAUACCAUGUCAAAAAUGUGCCACUGAAGUAGGUUUGGACAAUUUAACUUAAUUAAUAUGGAUGUUGCUAAACUAAAUUAUUCUUUGAAUUUGAGAAAGAACUGGACUAAGCAUGCACCUUUCCUAUUUCUCUUCAUUGUUUUAUUGUCAAAAAAUUAACACGACUUUUGCAAAUCAAAUAUAGUUGUUUCUCAUUUACGUUUCUUCAGGAUGAUGAAGAAGCGGAUACAGUUGGUUGUUGCACGUUAAAAAUAGAAAAUGUGACUGCACAGGGCCACAACAAAUUGAAGGUAUUUGAGCUUACAUAUCUUUCUACUUUUUUUAGGAGGAAUUUCAGUACCUUACAUGUGAUUUUUCUUUAAGUUUUGGUUGUCUAGUUUUAUUGUUAACUGCUAAUAGUUAGGAUAAUAAUGAUCAUGCUUCAUUUUUGGUUUAAUGCAGUUUGAUUUUCUUGGUAAAGAUUCAAUCAAGUAUGAAAAUACAGUUGAGGUGGAGCUUCCUGUUUAUAAUGCCAUUUUGAAGUUCCAAAAAGGUGGGAAACUGCUUCUACUUUUUGAUAUAUUUUGUAUGAGACUGAUGCGAGGCUAAUAAGUAUCUGCUUUUCUCUCUUAUCAGACAAACACCCUGGAGAUGAUCUUUUUGACAAGCUGGAUACAAGUAAAUUAAAUGCUCAUCUUAAGGAACUCAUGCCCAACCUGACAGCAAAAGUCUUCCGUACAUUCAAUGCAUCAUUCACUUUGGAUGAUAUGGUAAAAAUUGAUUUAAAAUCAAUGCCCAGGCAUUCACACUGCUUCCAAAAAGAGAUUAUUCUGUUUUCUAUUAUACUUUUAUGUACUCUCAAUUAAUUACUUUGUUAUUUGUGUUUGUGUGUUGUUAAUGUUCAUAUCCAAUGUUUUUUAGUUCUCUGUAUGGAUCUUGUGUUGAUACAGUUUUAUAUUUUUGGGAGACUAAUUUUGGCAACAAAAAAAAAAAAAUAGAGGACCAAUAAAGUGAAACUUUUAAUUUUUGGGGAAUUAAAUUGGCCGGAACGAAUCAUCGGAGGACUUCUUAGUAUUAACACAAUUGUACUUGUUGGGACAGAAAAAGUUUAACUCUAAAUAUUUGUUUAUUAAUUAAAUUAGGUAUUGAAUUAUUUUAUUAGGAACCGGUUGGCUAGGGAGAGGGCAGGCUCUUAAUUUCCUGUCUUGUAAAUUCAGUAUGACCUAUAGAUUUGAAUACGCCAGUUUUUAUAGACUUGCGGCAACAUCUCAUUCUUUAUAAGAUCAAAUUAAAGGUUUAUUCUUGAUUUUAUUCUGUCUUGUACUUUUAGAACUCAUAUUUAAUCUUCCAUAAUUUUUGUGACAACAGUUGAAUAAGGAAACUAAAGAUGGAGAUGUUGCAGAAAAAAAAGAUGUCUAUCAACAUGCAAAUAAACAGGUACGUUUCACGAAAUUCAUUUUUGAUUCCUUCAUUAUACCGUGCACAGACUUGUGUAUUUUCCUGGUUUUCUAAGUUGCAUUGAUGUGUCUUUUCAUAACAGGUUGCAAUCAUUUGUAAUCAUCAACGCAGUGUUUCAAAAAAUCACAGUGCACAAAUUUCAAAGUUAAAUGAAAAGAUUGUUGAACUUCAGGUGAUAAUACUAUUUAGAGUUUGGAAACCUUGGUGUAAAUGAAUUUCUCGUCACUGGCUCAUUUUAUUUUAUUUUAAUUUAGAGGGCAUGUAGACAUAUACUUGGAUUUUACUUGCUUUUUAAUUGUAGGCUUCUUUGAGGGAGCUGAAAAUAGAUUUGAAAAGGGCAAGAAAAGAAAAUUCACCUCUAACGAGUUCGGACGGGAAGAAAAGGAACUUGAAUCCUGAAGCGUAAUAUACAGCUUCCUUAGUAUCUUUACACAUUAUAAUUAUCAAGUAUAAUGACUAAUGUGUGAUUGUGAAUUAUGUCACCUACAGGAUAGAGAAAAAGAUAACUCAAACCAGCGCAAAAAUUGAGAAAAUGCAACGUGAUAUGCAUACGAAAGAAGAUCUAAAAACUGUGGCACUUGGCACGUCCAAGAUAAACUACCUAGAUCCCAGGAUAUCAGUUGCCUGGUGCAAGCGGCAUGAGGUUCCUAUUGAAAAGGUCUGGACUUCUUCACUUGUUAUGAUUACAAUUGAUUUUCCUCCAAUUGAUAAAAACCAAUUAACAGUUGAGAUUCUAUUGGACUUUCCCUUGUCUGUAUGCUCUUUGCUUAAAGGCCGUAAGCUAUGUUGCUUCCCGCCAGAAUUGGACCAGUGAUCUAAAUAGUCUUUAACAUGUUUUUGAGGAGCAACUGUUCCCUCCACAUUUCUAAACAAUUAAACAUUUUUUCAGAAUUGUACUUACGGAUGGCACAAAAUGUGUUUUUUUUUUUCUCUUUCAAAUGCACACAUUUGAAGUCCUUUCUCUCAUGUUUUCGAUCUAUGUUAUAAACCAUUUUUUUGUUGUAGUCCCUGAAAUAUUGUUUUUGUUUCGAACUGAUCCAUAUAAUAUUAUUUUUUUGUUUUGAUGGGACUAAAACGAAGAGAGAAAAAUUAGAUGGACCCUUCUAAAUAAAAACAAGUCAUCUAAUUAUCUCUGUAAAAUGGUGAACUAAAUGUUUGAUUUUGAUUGGCUUAUUCGCUAUUACUAACAUACUCUUAUUGCUUGGGGCUUGAAUCAGAUUUUCACUGGAAAAACUCUGCUGCAAAAAUUUGCUUGGGCAAUGGAUGUAGAUCCUAAUUUCAGAUUCUAAGAUGGAGGCUUACAAAUACAACUAACUAUGCGGUGGGAAAGCCACUUGGGUUGGUCUAGUGGUAUUGGCUUGUAACCUGGGAGUGUGCUCCUCCUCAAGGUCUCAGGUUCAAUUCUCUCUGGUGCCAAUUUGAGGGGGUUAGUUUAGGUUCAUAAAAAAAAACUAUGCGGUGGAAAAACGUUUUUUUUUUUUUUUUAACUCUUUCCUUCUACAUAAAAAAUAAGUUUUGUUUCUUUAUUUUUGAAGUCCAGCGGAAAUUUAUGCUGCAAAGUCUUCAUCUAAUCUAAUUUACUAUUUCAAUGAUUCAUAUUAUGAUUUAAUCAUUUAAUGUGAUACCCAGUGUUAAAUGAGGCAAAGUUUUGUAGUUUCAUUCUUGUUUAUUUUACUUGUAUUGUUAUUGUUAUCUGUGAUUGCUUACAUCAAGGGUGGGUUUGAAUGUUCAAGCAGAUCAUAUUAACUGCUUCUUGUUCCUUCCAAUGAGUGCCAUUUUGAUGGCAUGACACCAAGAAUGGAAGUUCUGUCGGGUAAGAAGAUGAAGUAGAAAUUGUCUUAAAUUGUCAUGGUGAAAAAUGAAGAAGACGAUCAAGAAAGAGAACGCAAAAGUAGAAAUAAUCUCAAACUCUCAUGUUAAUCAUGCCAUAUUGAAGUGAGAAAUUGAGUAAAAGUUUAUUGAAAAGAUUCAAUUAAUAACAACAACUGAAUGAACAAUUACAAUAGCAUAAAGCUAUAGUAUAAGUAGAGCUAAUGUGCUAACUACCAAACUAAACUUGCAACUGAAAGUUGCAACAAUCUAACUUGAUCUAAAGGAUUAAGUACAAGUUUUAACAUAUAGUUAGAGCUAUGGUGAAGCUUAAUAAGUUGUUAAUAUCACAAGAACCUAGCCAGCCUUCAAAAAUUUGCUACAAAUGUGUUGUUGGAUGGUGAUUGGGGAUGUUGUUUGUCCCAAGAGUAUGGAGCUUAUUAUCUAGUUGCAAAUAUUGACCUAUUCAAGUUGGCUUAGAUAUAUUCUUUUAUGGUCAUGGUCUUGCAUACGCAGCCGAGGGAAAUUCAAAUUGAUUUUCUUCUGAUUGCUAUGAUUAGCCUUGUUUUGUCUACGAUUUGGCUCUUUUCAUAUUUACCCAAACAUAAGAUAACUAAAUUAAAUGUAUAAAUUGUCGCUGUGAUUUUGAAUUUCCAACCGAGUGCCAAAACUGAACAAAGUAUUCCGAAACUCAAAACAGAUCAAUCAAUGAAAUGUCAAUCCAAUUGCAAACAGAGACCAGAUACCAUCGAAAAAAAUUACAGCCAAAGAAAGAAUUAUAAGUUUUCAAAAUAAAUUAAAUUAAAAAUAGAUUCUAAUUUUAUCUUGGAAAACAAUGGAUUAAAAAAAUAUCCAGAAAUAAAAAAUUGUUAUUAGGACAAUUUAUUUUGGAAAUAAAAUUGGGUAAAAAAAUUUGGGCCGUUUUACUCUGAUGAGGUUUGUCUUGGGGAAAAUAAUUUAUCCCCAAAACCUAUAUAUACACAAAUGUAAGUCAAAGUACCACACACAGUACAUACUCAGAAUUUUAGGGAAGAAAAAAAAAAGCAUUGAAAACCCUAACUCAUCUUUUCACAGUGUCGCCGCGUCCCACCAUGUUCUACAGCAUUUUCUAUUCCAGUCCGUCGUCCACUUCCACUGCUAAAUCGAACAAGAAAAGAAAGGGUUUAAACAGGUAUUGUUUCUUAGCUAAAAGUUUCGUUCAUCCGAUGGUUUGUUUUUCAUUAUGAUACUGCCUUUUAUUACCGAGUCUUUUUCUAAGACUCAUACUAUAGCAUCACUUCAUCAAAACCGUCCUCAAGUUAAGGGAGAUAUUGACAAUGACCUCGUCGCUGGGUUCGAUAAACAAAGGUAGAACUCUUGUUACUCAGUUUUGAUAGAAAACAAUGAGAAAGCAUACCAAUCCAUUGUAUUAACCAACAACUAUAUGUCACAAUCCUUGUUCAUCAAUCGGUAGUUAGGAUCAUCAUUGGCAAGGGUGAUAGAGUAGGGUAUAUCCUAAAAAGUAUGGUGAGAAUAGUGUGGUGUGUGGGUUUCGUGAAGAUUUAUUGAGAUGCAUUUUGACAAAGAAGGGAUUGGAGAUGAGUGUGGUCCAAGAGUUGCUCACGCACUUCGAUGGUAUGAGAGAUUUCACGGUAAGCAAUGAUGAGACUAAAAAUGUAUUUCAUGAACAAGUAUAAAAUUCAUAUUCAAGCAUGGAUUUUAUUUUUAUUUUUUACAAUCAAAAACUCGUAUUAUUUCACUUCUCAAAAGAGUCUCAAUCUCUUGGUGACGAGCAUGUAAUCUUGAUGCUCCUGCUAAAGUAUGAGCUACAUGUAUUAUGUCCCUAUAUUUACUAACUAAGAUGGAGAUGUUGCAGAAAAAAAAAAAAAAGAUGUCUAUCAUAAUGCAAAUAAACAGGUACAUUUCACAAAAUUCACUUUGGAUUCCUCCAUUUUAACGUGCACAAACUGUUCUAUAUUUUCCUGGUUUUCUAAGUAGCAUUGAUGUGUCUUUUCCAUAACAGGUUGCAAUCAUUUGUAAUCAUCAGUGUAGUGUUUCAAAAAUUCACAGUGAACAAAUUUCAAAGUUGAAUGAAAAGAUUGAUGAACUUCAGGCGAUAAUACUCUUUAGAAUUUGGAAGCCUUGGUGUGAAUGAAUUUCUUGUCACUGGCUCAUUUUGUUUUAAAUUUAGAGAGCAUGCAAACAUAUACUUGGAGCUAACUUGCUUUUUAAUUGUAGGCUGAUUUGAAGAAGCUGAAAAUAGAUUUGGAAAGGGCAAGAAAAGAUAAGAAAAGCCACCUCUAACGAGUUCGGAUGGGAAGAACAAAAAGAACUUGAAACUGAAGCGUAAUAAACAGCUUCCUUAACAUCUUUGGACAUUAUAAUUAUCAAGUGUAAUGUGUGAUUGUGAUCUAUGUAUCGUACAGGAUAGAGAAAAGAUAUCUCAAACCAGCGCAAAAAUUAAGAAAAUGCAGCAUGAUAUGCAUACAAAAGAAGAUCUAAAAACUGUGGCACUUGGCACGUCCCCAAGAUAAACUACCUAGAUCCCAGGAUAUCAGUUGCCUGUUGCAAGCGGCAUGAGGUUCCUAUUGAAAAGGUCUGAACUUAUUCACUUGUUAUUACUACAAUUGAUAACACAUAUUUUCAGAAAUGUACUUAUGGAUGGCACGGAAUUUGUGUUUUUUUUUUUCUUCAAAUGUACACAUCUGAAGUCCUUUCUCUCAUGUUUUCGAUCUAUGUUAUAAACCAUUUUUCGUACACAUCUGAAGUCCUUUCUCUCACGUUUUUGAUCUAUGUUAUAAACCAUUUUUCGUUAUAGUCCCUGAAAUAUUAUUUUUGUUUCGCAUAUAAUAUUUUUUUUCUUUUGUUUUGAUGGGACAAAACGAAGAAGAAGCAAAAAUGAAAAGGGCCCUUCUAAAUAAAACAGAUUUAAGCCAUCUAAUUAUCUUUGUAAAAUGAUGAACUGAAUGUUUGAUUUUGAUUGGCGUAUUAUUUUUCACUAACACACUCUUGUUGCUUGGGGCUUGAAUUAGAUUUUCACUGGAAAAACUCUGCUUCAAAAAUUUGCUUGCCCAUGGAUGUAGAUCCUAAACUCAUUCUCGUAUAUUUUACUUGUAUUGUUAUUGCUAUAUGUGAUUGCUUAUGUCAAGGGUGGGUUUGGAUGUUCAAGCUGCUCAUAUCAACUGUUUCUUUUUCCUUCCAAUGAGGGCCGUUUUGAUGGCGCGACGCCAAGAAUGUGAUUAUCUCCCGAACUUGGGGCUGUGAGAUGUUACCCCCAUUGUCACUUGGUUAGCAUAGGAUGAUUGUGUCAUGAGUUGGGUGUUUCCUAGGAACAUUGCGGUGUCUCGAUUAGUGUUUUAUGAGGGUGAGAGACCAAGAGCUACUGACAAUAAUCUGCUUGGUUCUCUCAGCCUUUCCUACCUUCCAGGUGCUCGGCGGCAGCCCUUAGAUGUAUGUUUUUCCAUCAAUGAAAAUGGUAUCCUAACUGUUUCUGCUAAGGAAAUAUCUAGAAGAAAUAAGAACUAGAUACCAUAACCAGUGACAAAGAAAGGUUGUCAACAAUUGAUAUUGAAAAAAUGAUUGAAGAAGCUGAAAGGUACAGUUUUGAUGAUAAAAUGUUUUUAAUGACGCCUUCAUUGUAAUCGCCACAAACCCUCCCCUUCAUUCACCUCCCAUAGGUUUAUUUUCAAAAAAAAAAAAAAAAAAAAAUUAUAAAGUUUUGAGCACUUAUUAAAAGCAAGACAUCCCUUGAAAUCUAAAUAGAGAAAUACAAAACUAGCUAGUAUUUGCUGUAAGGUGUUUCAAUAGGCUUUCUAGCUCCUUCAGAUGACUCUCAAGAGCAUCUAUUUCUAUGAUCUGGUAGUUCUUCUUAACCAGAAAACUCUUGGCCUCAUUAAUUGCAUUGUCGAUCUUCUCAAGUUUUUGAUGGGUAGCCUAAGAUUGACACCCUUCUGUAAAACAUUCUUCAUUUCAUAAACACAACACAUUACUGUGGUCUUAAAAACAUUUUAUCAUCCACAUUGUACCUCUCAGCUUCUUCAAUUAUUUUUUCAAUUUCAAUUAUUGACCACCUUUCCUUGUUAAUGGUUAUGGUGAUCUCGUUCUUAUUUCUUCUAGUUAUUUCCUUAGCAGAAACGGUUAGGAUACCAUUUUCAUCUAUGGAAAAACAUACAUCUAAGGACUGGCCCCAACGAGCACCUGGAAGGCACCCUCAUAAUCACUAAUCGAGACACCACAAUAUUCCUAGGAAACACCACACUCAUGACACAAACAUCCUCUGCUAGUGGUCAUCAAGUUGUGAUUAUCUCCUUCGAUUUGGGGAUGGAGUUCAGUUAUAUAUGUCAACUGUUUGCAUGUUAAUGGAGUGUCUUUGUUUUUCUCACCAUUUUUAUAUGGCAGAUGAGGGAAUUUGGAGUUGAAGAAAUUUAAGUUUAGUUAUCAUAAUCGACUUCAUGGCUUUAUUUACUUUGAAUAUUUCCUGUUGGUUGCCGACACCGAUAUUGGCAAGUGAUUCACUAUAAUAAUAAGAGAGAUUAUAGAAUAGAUCAAACUAGAAUUACCAUUUACAUUUAUUGAUUUCUGGUCAAGCAUUAUGUUGAAAUGACAUACUAAGUUGCCAUUCAUUUCAUCAAUAGGCUACAUGGGAAAGCGCCAACUGAGCAACUGAAUUUAAAAGUGAACCGUCACUACCAAAUUCCACUUGUAUUGCCAAAGUUUUAUUUUAGAAAAAUAUUUGAGAAUAAAUUCAGGAAUUGUGGGUCAGCUUUAAAUUUAUGAGCUUUGUUUUGGAAAAUUUUAGCCCCAAAACCCUAUACAUAAAAAUAUAAGUGUAUGUAGUUUGAGAACCCAUACAGAAAUUCAUAAAAACCUUGACCCGUGUUUUCACGGUGUCACCGCCACUGUCCCAUUGCACUUUCCCUCUCCAGUCUAGUCGGUCUACUCUCAGUGACAACUUCUUCGUCCCACGUUAUUUUUAUCUUCCACUGUUAUCUAUUUAGGAUCCCAAGAUUAAAAUCGAACAAAAGAAGAUUGAGAUUGAAGAUUUGCCUGGUUCAACCGCUGUGAAAAUCAUCAUUGAUCAAGAGAAGAAAGAAAGGGGUAUAAGCAGGUUUUGUGUCUAUCGAAAUCUAACUAGGACAACAAUCGGUAAUCAAUCACACAAUAAUUGACUUCUAUUUUGGUUUUACAAUGUUGCUCGUAUUAAUAUAUCAUUUGUAACUAUUAAUUUUUGUUUACAUAAUUCUUAUUUACCGCUUGAUCAAUCUACAGUUUUCUUAAGUAUUGUGCAUAAUCACUUGUAUGCUAAUUGAGAUGCUUGUCAAGAAUAAAUAUGUUAAAACCUGUUUCAAGCACGAGUUUAUGAUUCUAGUUGCAGUUCAAUUAUAACCUUGAUUUUUGUUCAAGAUUAUCUGCUAUCUGAAUUUUAUUGAUUGUUUUUCAUUAAUUUGUUCAUUACAAGCUCGACUAUGAUAACAAACUGUAAAUAACCUGAGUAGGCGUACGGCCUGUGUCAUUAUCAACUUACUAGCUAUACUUGUUAGAAGUUGAAACCCCAGAGAGGAGGAGAAGGAAAUUGUAAAUUCUCAUUAUGAUGAAUAACAGAGCAUACAAGUAUUUAUAGGCACAUGCUAAGUGCAAUGAAUAGGUAACACAUGUCACUGCCUUAAAGGCUAGAGCUAAACUAAGAUAAGCUACAAUAGCAGAAUAUCAAGCCUAAUCAAUACUCUUAACAAUACUGUGGUUUGUUUUAGUUGAUGUAAAUGUAAAAUUAUUUUACACCUACAAUACAUCUCCAAUAAACUAUUUCAUCAAUUAAUUUGUAUAUUCUUGAGCAAAGGAGUAGGACUACAUCAUCAAAAAAACGCCCCAAGAAAUAGACAAAAUAAAAAUAAAAGUAGCAGCAAAAGAAGUGUUGAUAUAUCUAGUUGGCUCUGAUUAAAACCACCACCAGCCCAGCCCCAAAAGGCUCCUUAGUGGAUUGUUUCCUAGUACAUAAUACAUUUUUGAAAUGGUAGGAUAUGGUAAGAUACACCAUCGUGGUUCAACAUUGCCAUCAAUGAAUGUGAACCCAAAACAUGUUGGUUGUCGUGAAGACAAAUAUUUCCAAUCAUCAUGUUGGUUGUUAAAUCCUGCUUCCAUCGAAAUCUCUCUCAAUUCUUUUCUCUGUUCAGUUCAUAAUAUUCUUACUGACUGCUGGAUCAAUCGAUAGCUUUCAUUCUCCUAUUAUGCGGGAUGAAGAUGCACAUUAAAAAUGUAGGUCCUGAAUUUGUUGAUACUUUCAAGUACUGGACAAAAUCCCUUGAUCCACUGGUAAUUGAGAUGCUAAUUGCUAACCAAAAAUAAAUAUGUUAAAACCUGUUUCAAGCACAAGUGUAUGAAACAUGUGGGAAAAGGGAAUGAUGGUCAUUCUAGCUGCAGUUAAAUUAUAACCUUGACAAAUCUUCUAGAUUAUCGGGUCUCUGAAUUUCAUUGAUUAACUUUCAUCAAUGUAUUAUAACUACUAGCUCCACUAUGAUUUUAAACUUGUUAGUAACCUGAGUAGGUCUACCUAUCAAACAAACCAUAUUUACACUGCUCAAGUUACAAUUAGCAAAUACCAAAUCUAUGUUCUUUUAUGCGUGAGUUGAAAGCGUAAGACAUCAUUUCAAGUUUUAAAAUUUAUUCCUUCUCCUUUUGAAUUGUUGCAGCUUGUUAUGGAGAUUCGGAGAUUAAUGGAGUUAAAAGACCUUAGCAUAAAUUAUACAUGCUCAUCUCUUAUGAUAUGUUCUCUUUGUAAAGGGUUUACACGGAAGAGGUAAACUACUAGUUUCAGAAUUAUAUAUUAAUCAUCUUUUGUCAUUAAAAUUGUUUAUAUCAAUACCUAUUUGGUCUUCAUUCUUUUGUUUUUUAUUUUGGCGAUUUCAUUGUUUUUUGGCUUAUUUGAUCUGGUCCCCUAACUAAUUUCAUAUUUUCAUUUUGGUCCUACAAUUAAUAAAACGUACGUUUUGGUCCCUCACUUUUUUCUCCGUUUAUCAAAUAAAUCCCUAGUCUAUUAAGUUUAACCACAAAUGUCUAUGGUGGACCAACUUUAAAAGUGAUCCACCAUAGACCUUAUUAAACUUUUUAAUUUAAACUGUUUGAUCUGUUUCUUAAAAAAAAUGACCAUUAAAUUAUACGUGUCUAUUGUAACUUACGAUGUACCAACAACAACUAAUUCUUUUAUUUCUUUCUUCAUCUUCUACCUUAAUAAUCUUCAUCAUCUUCAACUCACAUUCAUCAUCAACAUUCAUAAAAAAAAAAACCAAAAAAAUAGAAUCAACAACUAUCAACAACAACAUGAUCAUAAUCACCAUCAUCUAAUCACUAAACUUACACCACCAACAACACAUAAUUUAAUCACCAAAAUUGAUAUAAUGUUCAACAACAUUCAUAAAAAAAUCCAACAAAAAAAAAACUAAAACCAAUUCUUAGAACAACAUCAACAAAUCAAUUAAACAACAACAAAUUGAGAGUGAAGCUAAAUCUGUGAGGAAGAAGAAGAAUGAAGCUAAAUCUGUAUGUAUGAAAUUGAGAGUGGCGUGGUGGUUGUGCAGCUACCCUACCUAUAAAUCAUUUAAAGUUACAAAGCAAAUCAUAGAAAUUCAAACACCAAAUUCCCCUUCCCUUCCCAUUGUCAUCUCUGCCGAUGCAUAGAGAAAUCAAUCUCAAAAUGACUAAUAGCACCAAAUUACUACUCAACAACAACAACAACCAGUUGAAUCUUCUUCUGCUCCGAAUCACCCAAAAAUCCUUUUCUUCCUUUCUUCCCUAAUUUCAAUUUCAAUUUUCAACUUCCCCAUUUUACUUACCACCAAAAAAGCAUAAUCACGAUGAUGUUGAUGACAACAAAAUAAUAACCUUCAUCCCAAAAUUGCAGGAAGGAGCAGGACAUAUGUAUAUCUUUCUUUCUUUGUACCCAUUAGUUUGAAUAGAAGCUAAAAACUCAUGAUUUGAACAAAAAGAAACAACCCAACACAAUCAAAAUCCGCGAUUUGGAAAAGGACAAGCAAACCACGCCCAGAUCGUACUGUUCGAGAGAGAGAGAGAGAGAGAGAGAGAGAGAGAGAGAGAGAUGAACCCCACACCCAGAUCGCACUGUUCAUCGAGAGAGAUGAAGACCAUCUCGUGUUACUGUUCAUCAACGAAGGAUUGAAGGAUUUAACAAAACAGAUCGAUGAAGGAAGAUGAAGAUCGUAUUGGAAAGGGUAGGAAGUGUUUUGUUUGAUGAUUUUUUUUUAUGAAUCCUAUGAAGAUGAUUAAGAACACAAUGGGAGAAACCUAUUUUCUGGGUUUUUUUGCCACAUGGGGUUUUACUAACGGAAGUUUUAAUUAUUUGACAGAAGGGAUUUAUUUGGCAAACAGAGAAAAAAGUGAGGGACCAAAACGUACGUUUUAUUAAUUGUAGGACUAAAAUGAAAACGUAAAAUUAAUUAGGGAACAAUUGAAUCAAAUAAGCCUUAUUUUUUUGUUUGACUCAGUAGGUAUUUGUUCACAUUGUAUUCAACGCAUUCUGGAUUAUUAUGAUGUUUUAUGAAUUUUGAUACUAAUUCUGGGGCUAACGUGUUGUUCAGAGUGCAUCCUAGCCUAUAAUUACUACAAUAAUAAUACUUUUGCAAACAAACAACUUUUUUUUUUUAAUUUGGUUAAAAACUAUAAUAAAAUUUUAGGUUUAAUUGCACUUUUGGACCCCUAUCUUUCCAAAAGUUGCGGUUAUGGACCCCUAACUAAUUUAAAUACAAAACAGCCACCUAUGUUUUGAUUCUUUGGCAGUUUUGGACCCUCAGUCCAUUGUUGACUCGGUCAACGCUGACGUGGUAGGUGCCACGUGUCAAUUUUUUUUUGUUUUUGUCUUGGGGGUCCAAAACUACUAAAGAAUCAAAACAUAAGAGACUGUUUUGUAUUUAAAUUAGUUAGGGAUCCAUAACCGCAACUUUUAGAAAGAUAGGGGUCUAAAAGUGUAAUUAAACCUUAAAUUUUAUGCCGAGCAUAUAACAAUUUUUACUCAAAAGGGCAUAAAACAUAAAGUACAAGAGCUCAACUUGUAUUUAUUUAUCGUUUCUUUUCAUUUAGCUACGGAGAUAGUACAAAAGGACUUCGAACACUAUAUUUAUCAUUUCUCCAUGUAAUGGAUCCAAAGAGAUCAUCGUUCAGCGGGAUUAAAGUGUAGGAGAAAAUAACUUGGUAGCUUAUUUUUUUGCUACUUUUUGUAAAUUGGAGUUUCUCUGGAAUCAAUUGGACUUUCACCCCACUAGGAGCAUCAACGAUGGCGGAGUAGACUGUUUCAUCCUCUUCACCAACAUUUGUAACAGUUCUACUCACAUUCACACUUCCUCUCCCAGUGAAGUUGGAGAUUGCUAUUGAAGGAUAGUUGAUAUUGGAAAUAUGAUCAGGAGUUGAAUCCUUAGGGCAACUGAAACUACCAGGGACGGUUUUUGAGAUAGCCUUAAUUGUGGGUUGUAUUGUAUCCUAGGUAACACAAGUAGUUCAAGUAGUCAAUGGUGCUGGUUUCAUAAACUAGCCCUGGUUGGAAUGAUUCAGAUAUUGUAAUUUCCCCUGCUCCAUAGUCAUAAGGUGUGGCAAUUGACCCUAAAUCCGUUGUAAUGGGAUCCUUCAUAUUGUUAAUUUGAGUUGCUGCAUUUUGAAAAAUAGGAGUUGAUGAGUACUAUUUAUUGACAUUGAUUUGAGUGAGUUAUCAAUUUAAUUUGUGAAAUUGUUUUGGUUAGACAAUUUUACUUUUGAAACUUAAAAAAUUCAAAAUGAUUUAUAAAAUAAAAUCUUUUAUCACAUCAGUCUCCAUAAAUUUGACAAUUUAAUUACCAUCUUGUUAGUUGAUAAAGUAGGAAAACAGUGUCUAAAGCACCACACUUAAGUUUUAUCAUGUUUAGAAACUAAAUCAAUCGACCUAAAAUGGUUAAUAUGGUUGAUCAUUUUUAAUUUCAAGAACUGUUUUAGAAAUUUUCAAAGGUAAAGUGAACUAAUCAUUGAGAUUAAAUUGAUUAUUCACAUUUUGUAUAAAUAUGAAAAGUCUAUCCAGAGGUCAUGAUGGCCGAUCUGAUUGCAGAGGCACUCCAAGUAGGGUUUCUAGAUUUAAUGCUGCCUGCAAGGCCUGAAACAUGUGGGCAUGACAUAGAAGUCCCUGAUUUAAAGUUAUAUGGUGAUGGCUUUUUCCCUUUUGGAACAUCAGUUACAUUAUUAGCAAUCGAUGCUGCAAGAAUGGCAACACCUGGUGCUGCAAUAUCGGGCUACAAAAGAAAGAAUUGUUUGCUAUGUUUAGUGAUGAGUGUAAAAUGAUAUCUAUUUAUGAUUCUAUCUUUAUUUUGUGUAUCCUUACCUUGAGAAUAUUCUUAGAGAGUGUUGAAGGCCCUCUAGAUGAAAAGAAUGCAACCAUAGGUGCAGGUUUAUAACCUACGACUGUAAUCGUUGCAAGAAUUGUUGCCACUGGAUUGCUUCAGAUUGAUUAUAUGCAAAAAAUACAAUAUAAUUAACUAGUGAUCAUCUCUCACUGUUGAUUUCAAUCUCGGAUUCAAAAGCAAAAUUUCAAAUAAACAUUUACUUUAAAUAUAGUUAGCUUGUGUAGUAGGGAUUUUAUUUUUUAUUUUUUUUGUCAUUAGUCGUGAGUUAUAGCAAAUAUGAGAAAGUGAGAGAGAUGAACUCAAAGUGUAAAAUUGGAUUACAUUGAAAACCAAUCACAAAUUGAAUAGUUCUAAUUGAAUGUGAGUGUAAAAUAACUUUAUAUAUAUAUAUUUUUUUUUUGAAAACUCGGUAUCCGAUCCAAGAAUCGACUAAUCCGAGGGGACCAAUCCCACCGCUCACUUGCGGGGGCCCGUUUAAAGCCAUAGCAAACUCUGUAUGGACUUAGCCCACCGAAAUUGGCACCAAAGGGAAUCGAACCUGAGACCUCUGGAGGAGCAAACUCCAAGAUCCCAAGCCAACCACUAGGCCAACCCCAAAUGGGAACUUUAUAUUGAUGGUGUAUAUCCAUUAAUCUUCUUGAUAUACCGUAAAUUAAAUUAAAAAACUUUAAAAUGCAUACCUUGUUGAAUUGACAUAUUGGAGGAUUGUGGCAGCAUCUCUUGUUCUUACCACGGUUGCUGGGAAGUCAUAAUUUCUUGCCUCUCCUCCUUCUUGGUCAAUAAUAUGAACAAGACCUAAUCCACCCAUCUCUUGCGCCAUUUUAAUCUUGUCAUAGAUUGUGUAACCAUCAUCUAUGCCAUCACAUAUGACAAUCUUUCCUUUGACUUUGUUCGUAUCUAAUGAAUUUGGGUGACACAUCCUGCAUUUAACAAACAAUAAUAAUUUUUUUUGAUUAAUUAUGCCCAACAAACAAGUUUAAGUUAAUUAAUUGUUAUGGUUAUGCAUGCUUACGUACCUUGCUUCAGCUAAAUCUGCAGUAGUUGUCUUGACAGCCUCGCCGGUUACCAGUGGAUAAUGGGGAGAUUUUGAAAGAGGGGUGAAAUUUAUGGCUUGACCCUUAACAAUAACAAUUAUCAAACAUGAGAAAUAUAUCAUUGAAAAUUAAAAAAAUUAAAAAAUAAAUUGAUAUACCGCAGAGCGCUAUAGAUUGUACCUUGAUAACUUUGUUACUACCCAAAACAAUAUUGGACUGAAGAUCACGAUCGAUAGUGGUGGCUGCAACAGUCAACAUCCAAGGAGCAUCAUUAAUAACUGUAUUUCUCUCUGAUCCUUCAUUCCCAGCACUGCAAACCACCACUAUACCACGCUCCACUGCGUGGAACGCUCCGAUUGCAAUCGGGUCAGUUGUUAAGUUGGGUCGGCUAGACGAAUAUGGACCAAUUGAGAGUGAAAGUACAUCAACUCCAUCAUAAAUGGCAUCGUCGAAUGCAGCAAGCAUGCCAGAGCCAGAACAGCCAGGAGAGCACACUUUGUAAAUUGCCAACCUCGAUUCAGGAGACCCACCUUUUGCUGUCCCUGCCGCGAGAUCAUAAUAUGAUGCACCACUCACAAAGUUCCCUGCAGCCGUUGAAGCUGUGUGGGUCCCAUGUCCAUUUCUAUCCCUUACCGUGUUCUCCGUUUCAUCAUCGUACUCAUCAGGAUCAGCGUAAUACCUUGCUCCUAUUAUCUUCCUAAAAAUAGAAAAACAAAUUCAUGGCAGCUUUUAUUCUAAUGGACCUCAUAAGCGUAAACAUAGAAAUAAUGUAUGGGAUAUAACAGGUUGGCUUGACUCGAUUUAUGUGAGAGAGAAAUUCAAAUCAAUCACAUAUUGAUUAGCAGGGUUUGGUUAAAUUUAUUUAAUAUUUUGUUACAAAAUCAUAAUCAAUUCAGAUCGAUGAAAAACAUCUUAUUCACAACACACCUGUUACAGUUGGAUGAGUUGAAGUCUUUUGAUGUCAUGCAGAUGCCUUUCCAACUGGGUGGAAUAGGACCCAUUCCCUUGUCUGAAAAACUUGCUGCUUCUGGCCAUAUACCUGAAUAACUCAUUGUUUAUUUAAUUAACUUAUUGUUAAAAUUAUGAAACAUGUAUGUAUGUUAUGUACAUGUACAUUAUAUAUAAAUCAUAUUUCAUUUAUAUCAACAAUAAAAUAAUAAUUAGCAACCUGUAUCUAACAUGCCAAUUACGAUGUCUGAUGAAGAGGGAGAAGACUUGGAAAACAUGUUUUCAAGUUUGGCGUAAGUUUGCAUUUCGAGGAAAUCCCAAGAACGUGUUGUAUGGAGCUUCAGAAUGGGAUCAGGGAAGACAGACACAACUCCAGGUUGUUGAGCAAUUGAGUUUGCUUCACUUUUUGAUAAACGAGCCGCAAAGCCUGAGAAUCCGUGUUUGUAGUUAUGUACUAGAGCUUUCUCAUUCCUAAAUGAUUCACAUCACCAAUAAUUAAUCACAUUUUACAAUACUAGCUAAUUGAUCGUGAUAUAUAUAUUCCAUUCAAUUAAUUAAGUACCUUUUUAACACUGUGUUUAAAAUAUGGGCAUGAUCUUCGCGAAGGGAACCAUUAGUUGAAUGUGAAGCUCCCAUAUACACAAUAUAAACUUGAUUGUCAUUCUCUGAUUGAGGAGUUAAGGAUGAUCUUGACUCUCCAAGGAAAAGGAAGAGUGAGUAAAAUAUUAGUACCAAUAGAACUGAAUUUCCUUUCAUGUUUAGUAUUCUCUUAUAUUGAGCUUAGCUUUGAUGGUGUUCAAUAAAUUGAUGAAGAGUAUGCAUGUUAGCUCCCCGCGCACACAAAUAUAUAAGAAGCAAUCGGUCUAAAAAAGUUAUAAUAAGUUGGUGCUUAUGUCAGCAUUGAAUUAUGAGUUAUGGUAAGAUAUUUAUCAUAUUUUUAUUUAGGGGAGAUAUGUAUAUCAUAUCAUACAAACUCUCUCUCUUCUCCUUCUCUUUUGUACAAAAACUCUAGUUUCUUUUCUUUCAUCCAUCAAAGAUGGAUGAUUUAGGGUCAAUUUUUUACGCAAAAUCACCCCUCUAACUCGUUUUUCUCUUUCAUUGAAAUAAGUGAUUUUCACAUCUAUUUCAUUUUUUCUUUUGUGAUUUCGUCGUCUUAGUGCGACGUUUUGUUGUUCGUCAUCUUUGUGUGCCUUUGUUUGUCUUUCUUGUUUUGUUCAGGUAUUUGUUCGGUUUAGAUUGUCAGAUAAGCUUAGAUAUAGUGCAGAUCCAAUCAAUGACUUUGGCGUCGUCAACGUUGCAGAUCCGAAGACUUGAGUAUUCCGAAGACUUGAAUAUAGUCAUAUGUGUAGGCUUUUGUACUUUGUGAUUUUAUGUUAUUAAAAAAAAAUGGUAAGAUUGUGGUAAAUGGUAAGAUUUAAUUAUAUAUAGGUUGUGGUAAAUGGUAAGAUUUAAUUUAUGAACUAAUAUAACUUUUUGUCAGUUACUUGGAAAGUGUGAAAUUUUUAUUAAUUAAAUUGGUACUGAUAGUAAUUUUCCAACAGUUUUUAGGAAAUUUGAACACAUUCAUCAACGGUAUGGUGCAUUGGUGCUUAUGAACUAAUAUAACAAGAGGAUUAGAGGAAUAUAAGUGUGAGAUAUAAUUAAAUUUGAGCUUAAAUAUGAUAGUCGUUCCUGUAAUUUAGUUCAGUUUUGAUUUUCAUCUAUGUAAAAAAAAUUGAAAUACAUCCCUGUAAAAAAAAAAUUUGUUUGAAAAAGGUCCCUGGCCCCACUUUAUGUCUGACUUGGCAUGUUAUUCGCUGACGUGGCAGUUGUUGACUGUGCAACUUUUGACACGUGGCAGUCCAUGUAAUUAAAAAUAAAAAUAAAAUUCUGAAAAUUAUAAUUUCUUGUUCCUUUAAGAAAAUUUUAAUUUAAAAAAAAAUCUUUUUUUUUUUUUUCAGAAUAUAUAAUAUUCAAAAAAAUUAAUUUUAUUUUGAAAAUUAUACAAAAAAAAAAUUCAGAAAAUUAUUUUAAUAUUUUAAAAUUUAUUUUCAGAAUUUUUAUAUUGUUUAUUAAAUUUAUUUUCAUAUUUUUUAAUUUUAAAAAUUUAAUAUUAUGUGGCACGUCACGUCAACGCCACGUGACUAAAACCAUGUCAAAUCAGCUGAAUAGUGGGGUCAGGGACCUUUUUCAAACAAAAAAAAUAUUACAGGGAUGUAUUUCAAAAAAAAAAAUUACAGGAAAUCAAAACUGGACCAAAUUACAGAAACGAUUAUCAUAUUUAAGCCUUAAAUUUAUAAUGCAAAUACUUAUUAUAUAAAAUUAUAAUUGCAGUUUGUUGAAGACUUUUACAAUAGAGUUGGUUUAUGUUCUGCAGUUUGGGCAGAGUUAUAGGUUUUAAGAUUAGGUUCCUUCAAAAACAAACAAAAAAAGUUUUAAGAUUAGGCAUUAAGUUCGUCAAGUUCAAAUUAAAUAUCCCCUCAGUUAUAAUCUUUGAACUAGAUUCUACCUUAUUGGUUAAAAUGAUUGGUGGACCAUGGCCUAAUGUGUAUAUCCAAUCUUUUCUUCAUAGAUCAUUCCUCUUGUAGUUGAAGAACAUAUGUUAUUCACGUUUUAAGAAAAUUAAGAAGUUAACCAUUGUGGAGAUUUAUUAGCUAAUAAUGUCAUUUUAUCCAUUAAUUAUUUUGAUUGGGUACAAUCGGAUGAUAUUUUUCUUUCUUUGUGCAUUUUGUUAGCUGAUAUAAUAAUGUAAAGCCAGGGUCGUAGCUUGCCUUCUUUGAUUUUGUAAUUUUAUAAUUAUUUCAUCAAUAUAGCAUUCCUUAUUUGCAAAGUGUGCCAUUUCAAGAUAUUUAGGCAUAUAGCUAUAUGGAAAUAUGGAGAUAGCAACUGGUAAGAGUACAUAUACAUGAAAUAAUGCAAGCAAAGUCUAUAUAAACAAUGUAUAUAUUAUAGUAAUAGUGUUUGGCAACAUACUAUAUAUGAAAGAAAUUAUUUUAAUUAUGAUAUACAAUCACAAUUACGUUAAGAGUAUUUUAGAAGAAGAAAACACAUAACCAUGUGAAUAUCAAUGAAAAUCAUUUUAAAAGAAAGAAAAAUAAAUAAAACUUGUAGCUGCAUGCCUAGUCUUGCCAUAAAUCUAACACACUCUGUUUUCAGCUGAGGGACAAAUUGGUUUCCAUGUCCUAUGCAACUUGUUGAAAUAAUUCACUGUCUUUUAAAAAAUUGAGGGUGACAAUUACACUCAUACCUAUUAUUGAAGGUAAAUGAUGUCCAAGUACAUUACUACUAUUCACCUUAGAAUAUUUUAAAUUUACCAAACUCUAGUUUCAGAAAAAUACUAAUUAUUCUUCAAAAUAUAAAAUACUAAUUAAGAAUGGGCUGAAAUAUAUAUUACUAUAUUUAUUUAUUUGACGUCCUCGUGAGUUUAGCUCAGUUGGUAUAGACAAUGCAUAAUAUUAUAUGUAUUAGACACAUUUUUUUUUAGAACAUAAUUGUAUAUAUCAUUAUUGAAACAAAAAAACUUAACAUAACUAUAAUAUUUAUCAUCAACUAGCUAGAAAAUCAUGGAUACAUAAUGUUCUUUAAUACACGUAUUUUUUUUUACAACAGGGAUACACAUAUUUGUCAAAAAAAAACUAUUACUCACUUUAAUUACAGUUCUUGAAGCUACAUAUUUAAUGUGGUUAACCUAAUUACUUAUUUAUUUAUUUUUCUUCUAAUUUUUAUUGGCAUAAUUGGACCCUAGGUAAUACUUAUCCUUCAAUAUUUUUUUUAAAGAUUCUAAUAAUCAAAAAGGUAAAACAACGUAUAAUAUUUGUAUUGUAAAUUAAUUUAUUAUAUUAAUAUUUUAUUCUUUGUCAAAGUUUAAACUCGGAACAUUCAACUCAUUUUUUCUUAUCUCAAACCAGUUGAAUUAUCAUAUCCUUUGUAUUGUCAACACAUUAUAACGAGACCUAAGGUAAAUUUUAAGAUGAGGUUUUUUAAAGUUAAAAAAAAUGUUUUAGUAUAACUAUAUCUUUGUUUAGGAAAAAAAAAUUGACUAUUUAAAAUGAAAAAUCAUUUAUUAGAUCAUUACAGUUGAUUUUGUUUACCAUUUUAUCAAUCGAUAACAAAUUCAAAUUUUAUAUUUUUUGAGGAUUUAUAUUGAUCUAAAACAAAAACACCGGAUUUUAUAUCUCAUUUUUCUUUAAUCUCAGACUCUAUACAUGCCUCAACUGAAUGAUUGUGUACAUGUAGUGAUAAAUUUUGCUUGAAGCCAUCUCUUGCAUAUGCAACAUAAAGAAAUUCCAAAAUUGCUACUUAAAUGAUUUGGUCUAAUUAGCUCUUGUGAUUCUUUUCUUCUUCUAAUUGCUAUUUCCGUAGCAUUUUGAUUUCUCCAUUGGAUACCCUCAAACCAUGAUUUUGGCUUUCAUUAUUUUACUUUGUCAUUAGAAAUAUGAUAUUUGAUAGAAGGUUGUGACGUUAUUUGAUCCAUAUAUCCGACUCACUUUGUAGGAUAAGACUUGAUUGUUAUCGUAUUUUGUUUUUCUAUUUGACUCAAAGCAUGUUUGGUUCACAUUAUUAAAUUCAUUAUGCAUGACUAUUAUGGAUUUUGAGAUUAACUUUGGGGCUAGAGUGAUGUUUUGAGAAGUAAAUUUUGAGAAUUUAAAAUGUGUAAAUAACAUAAACAACUACAAGAACUCUGCUUGUAUUUAUUAUUUAUCAUUUCUUUUCAUUUAGUUACAUAGAUGAUAUUACAAAAGGACUUCGAACACUAUAUUUAUCAUUUCUCCAUGUAAUGGAUCCAAAUAGAUCUUCCUUUAGCGAGGUUAAAUUGGAGAAGAUAACUUGGUAGCUUAUUCUAUUGCUACUUUUUGUAAAUUGGAGUUUCUCUGGAAUCAAUUGGACUUUCACCCCACUAGGAGCAUCAACGAUGGCGGAGUAGACUGUUUCAUCCUCUUCACCGACGUUUGUAACAGUUCUACUUACAUUCACACUUCCUAUCCCAGUGAAGUUGGAGAUUGCUAUGGAAGGGUAAUUAAUAUUGGAAAUAUGAUCACGAGUCGAAUCCUUAGGGCAGUUGAAAUUAUCAGGGACAGUUUUUGAAAUAACCUUAAUAGUUGUUGUGUUAUAUCCUAUGUAACACAAGAAGUUCAAGUAGUCAAUGGUGCUGGUUUCAUAAACAAGACCUGGUCGGUAUGAUUCAGUUGGUGUUAUUUCACCUGCUCCAUAGUCAUAAGGUGUGGCAAUCGACCCUAAAUCUGUUGUAAUGGGAUCCUUCAAGUUGUUAACUUGAGUUGCUGAAUUUAGAAAAAAUAGGAAUUUAUGAGUUGAUAGAUAGGAUUACAUUUACAUACAUACAUUUUAUAGGGAAAUUGAGUUGACAGAUAUACCUGAGGUCAUGAUGGCUGAUCUAAUUGCGGAGGCACUCCAAGUAGGGUUUCUAGAUUUGAUGCUUCCUGCAAGGCCUGAAACAUGUGGACAUGCCAUGGAAGUCCCUGAUUCAAUGUUAUAUGGUGAUGGUUUUUUUCCUUUUGGAACAUUUUCUGUGUCAUUUCCAGUCCAUGCUGCAAGAAUGUUAACACCUGGUGCUGCGAUAUCGGGCUAACAAAAAAAGAAUUGUUGGUCUUGUUCAAUGAUAUAUGUUAUUUUUAAUCAUAUCUAUCUAUCUAUAUAUCAUUACCUUAAGAAUAUUCUUUGUAAGAUACGAAGGGCCUUUACUUGAAAAGAAUGCCGCCAUAGGUGCAGGCUUAGAAUCUAUGACCGUAACUGUUGGUAGAAUUGUUGCUACUGGAUUCCUUGAGAUUAAUCAUAUGCAAAAAUAAAAUAAAAAUAAAAUGCCGUUUUUGAUUUCCAAAUAAAAAAAACUUUAAAAUGCAUGCAUACCUUGUUGAAUUGGCGUAUUGGAGGAGUGUGGCAACAUCUUUUGAUCUUACCACUGUUGCUGGGAAGUCUCCAUAACUACGUAUCAUAGCUCCAUCCUGGUCAGUAAUAUGAACAAGACCUAAUCCACCCAUCCCUUGCACCGUUUUAAUUUUGUUAUUGGUUGAGUAAUCAUCAUCACUUAUUCCAUCACAAAUGACAAUCUUUCCUUUGACUUUUUUCUUAUUUAAUGAAUUUGGGUGACAUUGCCUGCAUUUCAAAAAUAAAUGUUAGUUUGUCUAACUUUAAAACAUUGUGGUUAUAGGAUUUUCAUUGACCAUAUAUAUACCUUGCUUCAACUAAGUCAGCGGUAGUUUUUUUGGCAGACUCUCCGGUUAUCAAUGGAUAUUUGGCGUAUUUUGAAAGUGGGGAAUAAUUUAUGGCUUGACCCUAAAGUACAACAAUUACUAAGCAUAAAAAAUAGUUGACACUUUUCAAAAUAAAAAGAUAAGAAUGGAACAUCUUAGAGUGAGCGAGCGCUAUAAAAUUGUACCUUGAUAACUUCUUUAUUACCCAAGACAACGUUGGACUGAAAUUCACGGUCAAUAGUUGUGGCACCAACGGUUAAUAUCCAAGGAGCAUCAUUAGUAAGUGUACUUCUCUCCGGUCCAGCAUUCCCGGCAGCGCAAACCACCACGAUGCCGCGCUCCACGGCAUGGAACGCUCCUAUUGCAAUCACGUCGGUUUUCAAGUCAGGUUCGGGAUCCGGACCCCCACCAAGAGAGAGUGAAAGCACAUCAACUCCAUCAGAAAUUGCAUCAUCGAAUGCCGCAAGGAUGGCCGAGCCUGAGCAAAACAUAUUGCACACUUUGUAAAUUGCCAACCUCGAUUCAGGGGACCCGCCUUUUGUCGUCCCUGCCGCAAGACCAAAGUAUGAUGCACCACUCACAACAUUCCCAGCCGCGGUCGAUGCUGUGUGGGUUCCAUGACCAUCCUUAUCCCUUGUUGUGCCCGGCACAUUAUCAUCAUCCUCAUCAAGGCGGUAAUAUCUUGCUCCUAUUAUCUUCCUAAAAAUUAAAAGAAAACAAGUUUUUUUUUUUUUUUUGGUCAAGUAGCCUAGUGGCUAGAGCUCACACAAUUUAAUUGUGGAGAAGUGGGGUGUCCGGGGUUCGAACCCCGGCCCCUGCAUAUAAUAUGCAAUAUCCCUACCAACUGAGUUAAACUCACAGGGAUAAGAAAACAAGUUUUAAUAAAUAAAAUAAAUUAUAGCAGUUGUUACUCUAAUGGACCCCAUAAACAAAGUAAACAUAGAUAAGUUUCAUCUGAUUUUCGAGGAAAUUCUAUACAAUUAAAACUUUCGGUUGUUUUUUGUUUGUAUUUUGCAAUAAAAUCUGAAUCAAACUGAAUUGACGAUAACAUGAUAUGUAUGUGUGUGUGUUAAAAUACACAUUUUAUAAAAUCUAUAAAGAAUUACAUUAUUUUUCUCGGAAAGAAAUUUAUAGUAAUUUUUAUCUAACAUUGUAUAUUUUUUAUGCUACUAAUGUAUAAUGAUUUAAAAACACAAAAUUAAAAUAUACUUUUCAAGAUAAUACUACUAAUAUAAUUUUUUUUUAUCAUGGAUAGUAACUUUCUUUGAAAAUUUAUGUAAUCAAUGCAUCGAAAAUUAAAAUAUUUGACUUUUUUAUAGAAUAAUUUCUUCUUUUAAAAUGCUAAAAGAAUGUUCUCAAAGACACUCGUUAACAAGACCCAAAAAAUAUAUAUACAUCAAAUCAAUUAAUUAAUUGGUUUGAACUAACUAUGCACAUUAAUUGAAACUUUUUUCUUAAUCCUAUGAUCUUCAAGAAAUGAGGUUCUCACGUUAUUGAACUUGAUCACUUGGUUGUUGGAUCUUCGUAUGAUCUUGUAGCCCUAAGUUUAUUUUCUUUUUAUUGCUUUUCUUUUGGGGGAUUGGACUUUUGACUUUUCUAUUGGGUUAUGCUGGCAAUUAAGUGGCCCAUAGCAUUAUUUAAGAAAGGAUUAAUUAAGUUUUUAGUCCCUAUAAAAAUGUUUACAGUUUUGUUUUUAGUCCCUACAAAAUAUAAAAUUACACUUUUUAGUCCCUGUGAUAUUUUCCUUAAGCAUUUUAAGGACCAAAAAUGUUGAUGGGAUUUUUUUAUAGGGACUAAAAAUGCUGAGGGAAAAUUUUAUAGGGACUAAAAGCACUAACGAAAAAUUUUGUAGGGACUAAAAAACGUGAUUUAUUUUUAUAUGGACUAAAAACAAAACUGCAGAUAUUUAUAGGAACCAAAAACUUAAUUAACCCUUUAAGAAAUAUAUAAAUGAAAAUAUUUAUUUUAAAAAUACAAAUUUAAAAUCAUAAUUACAUCAUUUUUCUAAAGAAAAGUCACUUCUUUUAAUUUUUUAAACAAUGUCCUAGAAAUAUUUGUUAGCAAUUUUCUUUUAUAUUUACCUGUUACAGUUGGAUGAGUUGAAAUCUUUUGAGGCCAUGCAUGUGCCUUUCCAACCGGGUGGAAUAGGACCCAUUCCCUUGUCUGAAAAACUUGCUGCUUCUGGCCAUAUACCUGAGUCUAACAUGCCGAUUACAACGUUUGAUGAUGAAGAAGUAGAAUUGAAGAGUGUAUUGUUAGUUUCGGCAUUAGUUUGCAAGUCGAGAAAAUCCCAAGAACGUGUUGUGUAAAGCUUUAGGAUGGGAUCCGGAAACACAGACACAACUCCAGGUUGUUGAGCAACUAAAUUUACUUCAUUUUUUGAUAAGCGGGCUGCGAAGCCUGAGAAUCCGUAUUUAUAGUUGUGUACUAGAGCUUUUUCAUUCCUAAACCAUUCAUUCACAUAUCAUCAAUAAAAUUAGUUAAUCACAUUUCACAAUAGUACUAGCUAAUUGAAUAUCAUAUAUAUUAAUUACCUUCUUAACACUGUGCUUAAAACAUAGGCAUGAUCUUUACGAAGGGAACCAUCUAUUGAAUCCGUAGCUCCCAUAUACACAAUAUAAAUUUGAUUUUCAUUCUUUGAUUUAUUAGCUAAGUAUGACCUUGACUCUCCAAGAAGAAGGAAGAGUGAGUAAAACACUAAUAUCAAUAAAAUUGGAUUUCCUUUCAUGUUUAUAAUUAAGUACUCUUGAAUUGAACUUAGUUAGUUUUGAUAGUAUGAUUUAAUUAGUUGAUGAGUAUGCUUAUUAGCUCCCCCUCGCACACAUUUAUAUAAGAAGCCACGGACUAGUUAAAGUAAAUAAGUUUAAUCAGUGCUUUAUUGUGUCAGCAUUGGUUUAUAUGAUUUAUGGUAACAUAGUAUUUCAGAAAGUUAUAUCAUCAUAAAGGCAUACUAAUAGUAAUAUGUCAUCGCUUAGCGAUAUCAUUUUACACUUGGGUUUAAUCAUAUUUUAUCAUAUACAGUAGGGAUUUUUUUUUUGUUGUUAAAAUCAUAUAUAGUAGGUUGUUUUAAAUUGUAAAUACUUUAAAUAAAUAAAUAGUUGGGCAAACAAUAUUUUGAAAUUAGGCUCCUUCAAAAACAAAAACAAAAAUAUUUUGAAUUUAGGCAUUAAGAAUUUAUGUUAUUCUUGUGUUAUUAUAGAAGCUAACUAUAGGGCAAUUUUACAACCUAAUUAACGUUAUUUUAUCCAUUAAUUUCUUUGAUUGGGUACAACAGUUUUGAUAUUUUUCUUUCUUUGAGCAUUUUAAUAGGUGAUUAUAAUGUAUAGAGCCGUAGCUUGCCGUGGUUGAGUUUGUAAUUUUAUCUUUCUUUUCAUCAAUAAUAACAUAAAGUGAAAUUAAAAAUCAAAAUGUUUUGGUGGAAUUAAUGCAUGCGCAUUGCUGGUAUAUAGGCUCAAGCACUACUAUAAUUCAUCACGCAAGUUUGUCAUUUGAAAAAAUAUAUAGUAGUUUGUCACAAAAGUUAUCAUUACUCUUCGAAGAAAUAUGUUGUUUUUUGUGCUAUAACCACAAUUAUAAACGAUAAUUUGAUACACAACUGCUCUGAAGUGGAGGUAGCAACUAGUUAGAGUAAAUAUGAUAUAAUGCAAGCGAUGUGUAUAUAAGCAAUGUAUAUAUAUUAGUAAUAAUGUUUGGCAACAUACUAUAUAUGAGUAUAUAGUUUUAAUUAUGUUAUAUAAACACAAUUACGAUAAGAAUAUUAUAGAAGAAGAAAACACAAACCGUAUGAAUAUCAAUGAAAAUUAUUUUAAAAGAAGAAAAAAAGAUUAAAAACUCUAGCUGCAUGUUGUCUUGCCAUAAAUCUAAAACACUAAUUUUAGGAGUCUUUUAGAAACUAAAGCAACCCCGUUUAUACUAACAAUAAUAUUGUGAUCUUGAGAUGAAAGAUGAAUUAGUUUCCCUAUCCUUGCAAUUAGUUGGAAUAAUUCAAUGUCUUUUUUAAAAUUGCGGGUAAUGUUAUUUCUAAUUAAAAAUUAUAACAAGCUAGUCAUAAACAUUUGGCAUUCACUAUAUCAUGACAGGUAAGUGGGAAUAAUUGUGUGCAAUUGUUUGCUACUGAGAAGGGAAGGUUAGAUCAAAAUAGAAAUUAAUCAUGUGCUGUUGUAAUUUGAAGGAAAUUAUAGCAAGGAUCGUGCUAAUUUGUGUUCUAAGAUACAUGUUAAGCAAUUUAAAAGUAGAAAUAUUUUCUUAAAUUUUGUGUAUUUAAUUAAUCGAAAGUAAAAAAAAUUAAAUCAAAUGCAUUAAUUGCAAUAAAUUAUUUCCAUUUUGACUUAUUAACUUGUAUCUUGAGGUAUAAGUUAGCAUUUCUUGUAUGGUAACCUUACUUGACAAGCAAAUUGGUAAAUCAUAUCCACAAGUUAAUUGAAUUCGGCCUGAAUGACCACUUUCUUAAAAUAAAAUUAUUUAUUAAAGGCAAAGUUUCCAUUGAUUAAAUGGGUUUGGUCUAUAUUAAGCUAAUUAAUACUAGGGAAUAUUUCAAAUAAAACCAAAAAAUAUUCCUUUCACUUUAGGAAUUAGUAUUUUCUUUUACAUAAUUUAUUUCCUCAAGUGUCGUAUUUUUAUUAGGGCAUUGGGAAGAGAGAGAAAAAAAUAGAUAUAUGAUUUCAAUUCCAAAAAACAUAUUCAAAAUGUUGGUAAAGUAUAUUUCUUAAAUCACUUUUAAAAAGGUUAGAGAUAUUUUAAAUCCUUAUAAAAUGCUUUUCAUCAACACGUUUGAAAGUCAAGAAUUUACUUUGGUGUAUGUGUUAUGGUUGUUUACCGACACGUGUCCGUUUGUUAGACAAAGGUGUUACUUGUCCGACUAAUUGUGCUAGUCACGCUUCUAACCACGAAGAUCGCAUGCAUGUUUUCUUUGAUUGUCCUUUUGCCAUACAGGUUUGGAAUAGGAACAGGUCUUUGGAGUUCUGUACAACAUGCAAUUUCUAUCAUUGCCUCAGCUAUGGAAGUUAUAUUUUACUUGUUAGAGAACUUGUAUGUUUAAUUAACACAACGUAUGUCAUCUGUAAUAUGGAGUUUAUGGAAACACCGCAAUCUCAGAGUAUGGGAUGAUGUAACACAAACAAGUGCCACGGUUGUUGAGCGUGCUCGGAACAUGGUUGAAGAUUGGCAAUUGGCUAAUGCUCCGGAUAUUCUUGUGUCUAGCUCGACACAUCAACCUCCAACGGCCUCCACCUCUCCUCAACAUCGAAUCAUGUGGCAGCCUCUCGUACUAGGAAGAUACAAAUGCAAUAUCGACGCGGCUUUCUCUUCUCACAUCAAUCGUACAGGUAUUGGUAUUUGUGUUCAGGAUGCAGAAGGUACGUUUGUUUUGGCUAAAGCUUUUAUAUACCCUUGUACGGUUUCGGUGAAUGUGGGUGAAGCCUUAGGGCUGCACUCCGCUAUGCAAUGGUUGAGUGAUAUGUAGUUUGACGAUGUGGAUUUUGAAACAGACUCAAAAUUAACAGUUGAUGCCUUCCUUUCUAGCAGGAACGACUUGUCCGAAUUUGGUUGCAUUAUUUCCUCUUGCCGUUCGUUGUUCAGCACUUUCUUUUCUAACUCUAGGGUGGAGUUUGUUAGGAGACAAGUCAAUGCGAUUGCUCAUGCUCUUGCAAGAGAAGCCACAUCUUUAGCUAGUCGUGUAGUUUAUUUUGAUAUUCUGAUUAUAUUGAAACUCUUAUUAUUAAUGAAAUGCUAUAAGCAUGUUUCUCUAAAAAAAAAUCAACAUGUUUAUCUCUAAUCAUAAUGCAACUUAUGCAAGUUCACGUGGCAACCAUGUGGAAAAAAUGGAUAUGAUAAUCCAUAGUUCAAACAUAAGGUCAAAUCGAUCCGGUUAAAAAUUGAACUCAAAUAUUUUCAAACAAUUCAUUUUUGAUGGAGUUUAUUAACUAUUUGAAUUGUUUGGUUUAUUAUCGUAAUUGAAAUAAUAUUAAGACCUUUUAAAAACAUUGUAUUUGAUGGUUUUGGGAUUGGAGAGUCAUGAAAGUUGAAACCAAUUACAACCGAAAUUGGGGAAUAUGAUGACCAAAGUAUUGAUGAAAAACAUUUUUGGAACCAAAAGCCGACAAAAGAAAUUCUAACGAUCAAAAACAAUUGUUAAUUUUUAAAUAUUAAAAACAUAUUUAACUCUUCUUCUUUUUUUAAAAAUUUUAAACUCUUAAAACAUGAUUCAAUAUCUUGACACAUUAUAAUCUUUUUUUUUUCGAAAAUUACAUGCACAAACAGCUAUUAUGAUAUAAUACGAUAAGAUGCUAGUUGAUAGUAAUAAUAUUGAACAUUUUGAAUUAGGUUUUUUUUUAAAUAAAAAAUCUCCAAAUUCUCAAAAUUAAUCACGUGAGCGUAGUUUCAAAAAUAAUAUUGAACUUCCUUCAAAAUAUAUAUAUUGAACUAACCAAACCAAGGCCAUAAAAACUUGAUAUUGAUGAUUUUUUGAGUGAUGCAACCAAACUGCGAUAGAAUUUUAAAAAAUUGAGGAUCAAAAGUGUUGUAGGAAAAUAUUUUUCAAUCAAAAAGUUAUUUUUUUGGGUACAAGUUCACCAAAUUUUUUAAUAAGGAUCUAAAACAAGAAGAAUGGGUUAUUUUAUAGAAAAAAAAAAUUUGAAGGGGGUAAAUUUUAUAGGAUUAAAACGCAGUUUAUAUAUAUAUAUAUAUAUAUAUAUAUAUAUAUAUAUAUAUAUAUAUAUAUAUAUAUAAAGAUCUUUUUUUGGUGGUGGUCGAAGUUUGAAACUCAAAUCUUACAUAUAUUAUACAUUGUUCUUACCAACCAAUUGAGUUAAGUUCACUGUAAUAUAUAUAAGGAUCUAAAACAAGAAUGGGUAAUUUUAUAGGAUUAAAACGUAGGUUUUUUUUUUUUGACGGAAGGACUAAAACGUAGAUAUUUUUACUAAAAAAGAACAUGAUUUCAAAAUCAUUUUUUUCCGUCAACAAAAACAUCUUUUACUUUUUGAGGGAAUGAUUUCAACAACUUAACACAUUAUAAUAUUUUUCAGAAAAUAACAUACACAAAGACAUACUUCGAUAAUGAUCGGAUGUCUAGCUCCUUCACAUUUUUCUUUUUUAUGUCCCUAUAAAUAGGCGUGUUUCUAACAUUAGUUCCUACUUAAAUUUUAUUAAAUUUUUUAUCCUGACGUUUUUUUUUGUUAGCAAAAUAGGUCAUCGUUGUUAAUUAUUGUUGAUUGAGCAAACGGUGAAGCACACGUGGAUGUCACAUCUGACUUUUUUUUUUUUGGAUUAAAUAUGUUUUUAGUUCCUAUAAAAUUGAGACAUUAUAAGUUUAGUACUUACUUAAUUUUAAUAGUUGUUUUAGUCCUUACAAAAAUAUUAUGCACUCAGUAUUAGUCUCUGCUCAAUUCAAAUUUGUUUAAUUUAUGCUUAAACUCUUACGUUUUUUAACAAUUUUUUUUCGACGUGUUAAGAACAUUACUAAAAGUUCCUCCGCAAAAUUUUAUUUAUAUGUCCAAAUUUUAUUACUUUUAUCUUUAACUUUUAUCGUUUUCAAAAAUUCAUAUUUAAUUCGUUUCAUGUUAAAAAAUUCUAAAUUUAGUAAUUGAACCUUUCAUAGUGUUCUAAACUUUUCUCAAAAAAAUCGUUCAAAAAUAAUUAACAAACUUUGUUUUAACAGGGACUAAAAUUAGAAGUAAUUUUUUUUUGUAGGGACUAAAAAACCUACUAAAACUAGUUAUGAUAGCAUUUUCAUCAUGAAAAGAUAUUUUUAACUAAUAACUACUCCAAAAAAAACUAUCAAUUCGGCAACAAAACCACUCAUGUCCAACAAUGCAAGAGAAGUCAUCAAUAAGAUAAUGAAAAUUGUGAAUAUUUUUGACAUUGGGAUAGCCAUUGCGCCCAUUUCGUCAAGAUAAAGAAGACGUAGUUUAUCAUAACUAGUUCCUACCAAGAAAAAAAAGGGGUAGCUCCAAUAAAUCCAUGAGAUAUUAUUUGUAAAACGGCCCCGCUGAGCCCAAUAUCAUUUAUAGAACCAAUUCCUAGAAUUAUGAAACUUAUAUGAGAUACUGAAGAAUAAGCUAUUCUUUUUUUUAAAAUUACGUUGACCAAAAGAUAUUCAAUCGGCAUAGAUUAUUUGAAUAUAACCUAAUAUCAUUAACCAGAGGCAAAAUAUCAAAUGAGCGUGGGAAAAUAAUUUCAUAUUAAUUCGAACCAAACAUAAAUAUAAUUAAUUCGAACCAUUACAGAAGUAGUGUUUUUUACUGCAAAUUUACUUGAAACUUAAAUAUGUUUUGGCAAUCCCACAAGUGAUUAUAGGAACAUUAAAUAUCAUGCGAGAAAGUGACUAAGUGGGUAAUCAACAUAACAUGAAAUAUUUCUUUCAAAAAAAAAAAACAUAACAUGAAAUACUAAUCAUAUGCAUUACUAAGAGCAUUACACCACAACAUUAAUGGAUAAUCUCAUGACAAACAAACUUGUGACGUGUGCCUUGAAGUUUAAGCCAGGAACUUUCCUUGCCUAAGACAGACAUAGCACCAAUGAGCACAAAAUAAAAAAACAUAACAUGUUCUUAUUAGUGGUUAAUUCAGCUAAAUGGUCUGAACUUACCACAUCCAUUUCGGACACCACUUGUGUACCAUUGGGAUACCAAUGUUAUAUAACACUGACCAAUGAAAGUGUGCCACAUAGCAGUUCACAUGCAUAUUUUUUCUAUUUCCUCUUUAGACAUUCUUAUGUGGUAUGCCUUCAUUGAUCAAUGUUAUAUAACAUUGGUAUCCUAAUGGUACACAAGAGGUGUCCCAUCCAUUUCAAUUCGAUCUUAACCAUCAUCACAACUCCAUGCCUUCUAUCCAAAUGUUGUUGUGAUCCUUGAGUAACUUGACUACACACGGUAAACAAAAUGGACUUCCUUGUAACAUGAAUUCUCCCUCCAACAAUUAUAAUAAAACUGGCCAAAAAAGUGUCUAAAGAACACUCUGCCAAACAUGUUUAUAGACAACAUUGGUGUCUUGUGGAAUAAGUCUCCUGUCAAGAACAACUUUGAUAACAGUGUAGUAUAGAAAUGAAAGGUAAGGUCAACAGAUCAACCGAUGCAAAUGAAAUUCAACAAAUAACUCAAUAAAUAAACUCAAGCUCAAUUUAUCAAAGUCAUUUCAAUUGGUAAAAUAUUUUAAUUACAAGCUAUACAAAACCAAAAAGAUCUGCAUCCGUCAAAAUUCUAAAUUUUUCCUUUCUAUUUCUAAUCAGUUUCUUUUUGUCUAAGACCAACAUAAUUCCUUGAAAUUCUUAUUUGUUAAACUACUUGACUUGACUCAACUACUAUCAAAAUCGAUCCGGGUGGUCAUGAAAGAAUUGAACGUUCAAACCUCCUUUUAAAAUUAAGACUAACACAGUUAAAUACUAUAAUGGGUUAGAUAUCGUUGGUUGAGGUAAAUGUAUUGAGUUUUAAUUGCUGCCCCUAACUAUAUAGAGAGCCAGGACUAAUAGGACGACGACUCUCCUGCAGAGUCCCCAUUAGUGGUAGUUUUGGAAUUUUUAAGCACAGUGGCUUCAUCCAGUGUGAUCUUAUCAAAAUCAGCAAUUAUGUUCUUGCAAGUUGAUCCAAACAGAGGAUAUUGAACUAGAUCCAACUUGUUGGUAAACAGGGGACAAAAACCUCGCCCACUCUUUGCGCUUCCUCAGUUUGUCACCCUGUAGCAAAUUUCAGAAUAAUAGAAAUCCAAUAAAAAACUUGAAAUAAAAAUUGUAAACAUUUGAAAAUGUGCUAUUGAAAUGUACUUCAAAACUAUACUUCCACCACAAAUAGAAAAUACAAUAGAACAAUAACAACUUACAUUUACUUCCACAACCGACGAAUUUCUCAAUGAAUCAAGUAUCAACUCGAUAUUGUUUGUCAAAUUUUUAACCUGUAAGAAAUAAAAAUAUGAGAGAAAAAACAACACUACAAUACUUUUUUUUGAAAACUAACAACACUACAAUACUUAAUACUCCCUCCGGUCCUAUUUAUAAGAAACAUUUUACUUUUUUGAUUCAUUGCAUAAAUGAUGUAUUUGGUAUACAUUCUAUACCAAGUACAUUAAUUAUUCAAUGAAUUUAAAAAGUCAACUUUUUCUUAUAAAUAGGACCGGAGGGAGUAGUUAAAAUUUGAACACUAACGGUGCUUGAAAACCUAUUUGCACUUGGUAGUACAAUGGUCAAUGAUCAAUUCACGACAUAUAGAUUAAACAGUUAAAAGCUCAAUUUACUUUGUGCAGAUGUUUCAUAUUUUUUUAACAAAAUCCAGUUUUUAUUUUGUUUUUUUCUUAACUCCUUUUGUUAUGUAAUAGUAUUUCAACAUAACUGCAUCUCAAUUCUCAAGUAAGUUGCUUUAUGGUUAACUAAAAAUGAAAUUCUUCUUCAUAGGUAACGAUACAUAUUAAAAAAAAAAAACCUACCAAAAGCAAAUGGCUAGUGAAGAUUCUACAUAGGUAACGAUACAUAUUAAAAAAAAAAUCUACCAAAAGCAAAUGGCUAGUGAAGACCUAAAAUUACGCAAUCGUGAAAUCAAAAGGUUAUCAGAUAUCAACAAUAUAAAUAAACUCUAGCUAUAAAAUAUCAAUUCCGACAUAGUAUACAUGUAUGAUAUAUCGAAAGCUCACCAAACAACCACGUUUAACUUACCCGCGGGAAGUUUGCAAUCAAAGAAACUGGAACCCAACCAUGUUCGUCCAUGUUCGAUUUCAGAAAUUCGUCAUUCGUCAAAUUAACAUCACUAUCAAAAAAGAAAUAAGUAAUGAAUAGAAAUUCAACUCAAAACAUUAUUAUUUCUAGACAGAUCAAGUAAGUGAAGUAAGAAAUCACCUAAAGUAAUAAUCAAUUUGUUUGAGUAUUAUAUUGGUCGGGGGAGUAGUGGGAGGAGUUUCUUCUGCAACUGGAAAGAACAUCGCCGGAGGAGGUGGAUGGGUUAAGAAUGGCAUACCUCCAAAAGGUUCAAAUUGUAGUGUAGGAUAAUAAUAGAAUUCUAAAAAGAAAGCAAAAGACAAAGCAUUAGUUGUGUCUUGUGGUGGAAAUAAAAUUGAACAAACAAAUUGAUAAACUGACCAUGAAACCCUGCAGGGUUUAGAAACGGUCUCAUAGGCAUAGGCUGAGACCCUAAAUAAGCAGAAUUGGGUAGUGUAGGCCUCAGAAACCCCUCCGAGUGCAUCCUAUGUUGGGGUGGAUGAGCAUCUCUAGUGUUCAUUGUAUUUCCUGGAUCUUGAUUGCGCCUAGUGCCAUAAUUGUUACGUGGACGGUGCCCAUAAUUACCCCUGUGACUGUGCUCAUCUACAGGCAGCCCAUAACCCCCAGCUGGUGAUCUUGGACCCCAACCAUUAUUGUUCUUGUACGACUGAACCCCGUCAACCAAGAAAGUAUUAGGAGUGAUCUGAAGCACCGGAAAUGGUGGGGCAACCGAUGGUUGAUGAUUGACUUGAGGAGGGUUAGAUAAAUUGUUCGACAAAGGACCAGGCUCAUUGUUGUUACCUCCUCCGCGCUCCAUCGGUUUUUGUUGUCUAUUAGACACACUAUGACUAUGAUUCAUUGGAGGAGUAUGUCUUGCAUUAGCAGCAGUGGCAGUGGCUUGUUUCUGAGGUGAGUUUGAUAUAACAGGCCCCUACAAAAAUAACAGCGAAAACAUAUAAUUCGAAAAUAAAGAGAUUGAUGAACCUCUGAACACCUCUCAUAGUUAUUCCAUAAAUUAGUUCUAAUGUCAUAUUUACCACCAUUUUUUCAAGAUAAUCAAAAAUCAAUUAUAUUCCAUCCAAAAAAACAAAUCGAUUAUUAUUCUUUCAGUCAAAAUGAAAAUAAAUGAAUACAUUUUAUCUAAAAACUAAAUGAACAAAAAGUAAUAUAAUUAGGAGGUUGAUCCUAACCUGAGAAAUGGAGAUUGAUCCGGCACCAUCGACGGCAGAGAUGGAAUCAGAUGUCAGUUUAGCAGAAGGCUUAGCAGACAAAGCAGGCCAAGAGACAGCACCCAUUACAGGACUGACCUCAGCAACAACGAGGCCAUUGGAUGUGUUCUUCCAAGCGGGUUUUUUAGGGUUAGCGUUAACCACAUUGUUAAUCUUAUCGGCAUUGGAGUUGUUGUUAUCUACGACAACAACAGCAGCAGUAAUAGCAGCAACUAGAUUGGCUGAAUCGAGAGACGAUGAUGAAGAAACGGAAUGUGGCGGAUGAUUAUUGAGUGGUUCGGAGGAGGAGGAGGAGGAGUCAGCACCGCGAACAACCUUAGCCCACGGAGAAGUGAGGUUUUUUGGCGGGAAAUUAGAGGAAGAAUCAGGUGCAUUGGUAGUAACCAUUGCCAAUUAGGGUGUUCUGAUUCGAUAUAGAAAGUAUUGAUCGAAUCGAUCGAUCAGUGUAUGGCGAAAUGAAUGAAAAAACAAAUAGCCAUAUCAAAAGGAUUAGGGUUAGGAUCUUAGUUGCAGAGG